rnacentral:rRNA from 1 species
GAUGAACGCUAGCUACAGGCUUAACACAUGCAAGUCGAGGGGCAUCAGGAAGAAAGCUUGCUUUCUUUGCUGGCGACCGGCGCACGGGUGAGUAACACGUAUCCAACCUGCCCUUUACUCGGGGAUAGCCUUUCGAAAGAAAGAUUAAUACCCGAUAGCAUAAUGAUUCCGCAUGGUUUCAUUAUUAAAGGAUUCCGGUAAAGGAUGGGGAUGCGUUCCAUUAGGUUGUUGGUGAGGUAACGGCCCACCAAGCCUUCGAUGGAUAGGGGUUCUGAGAGGAAGGUCCCCCACAUUGGAACUGAGACACGGUCCAAACUCCUACGGGAGGCAGCAGUGAGGAAUAUUGGUCAAUGGGCGCUAGCCUGAACCAGCCAAGUAGCGUGAAGGAUGAAGGCUCUAUGGGUCGUAAACUUCUUUUAUAUAAGAAUAAAGUGCAGUAUGUAUACUGUUUUGUAUGUAUUAUAUGAAUAAGGAUCGGCUAACUCCGUGCCAGCAGCCGCGGUAAUACGGAGGAUCCGAGCGUUAUCCGGAUUUAUUGGGUUUAAAGGGAGCGUAGGUGGACUGGUAAGUCAGUUGUGAAAGUUUGCGGCUCAACCGUAAAAUUGCAGUUGAUACUGUCAGUCUUGAGUACAGUAGAGGUGGGCGGAAUUCGUGGUGUAGCGGUGAAAUGCUUAGAUAUCACGAAGAACUCCGAUUGCGAAGGCAGCUCACUGGACUGCAACUGACACUGAUGCUCGAAAGUGUGGGUAUCAAACAGG